AUUGAACGCUGGCGGCAUGCUUUACACAUGCAAGUCGAACAGCAGCACGGGAGCAAUCCUGGUGGCGAGUGGCGAACGGGUGAGUAAUAUAUCGGAACGUGCCCAGUCGUGGGGAUAACGUAGCGAAAGCUACGCUAAUACCGCAUACGAUCUAUGGAUGAAAGCGGGGGAUCGCAAGACCUCGCGCGAUUGGAGCGGCCGAUAUCAGAUUAGGUAGUUGGUGGGGUAAAAGCCUCCCAAGCCUUCGAUCUGUAGCUGGUCUGAGAGGACGACCAGCCACACUGGAACUGAGACACGGUCCAGACUCCUACGGGAGGCAGCAGUGGGGAAUUUUGGACAAUGGGCGCAAGCCUGAUCCAGCAAUGCCGCGUGCAGGAUGAAGGCCUUCGGGUUGUGAACUGCUUUUGUACGGAACGAAACGGUUCUCUCUAAUACAGGGGGCUAAUGACGGUACCGUAAGAAUAAGCACCGGCUAACUACGUG
rnacentral:rRNA from 1 species